UACGUAGGGUGCAAGCGUUGUCCGGAAUUAUUGGGCGUAAAGAGCUCGUAGGCGGUUUGUCGCGUCUGCUGUGAAAAUCCAGGGCUUAACCCUGGACCUGCGGUCGAUACGAGCAUCACUGGAGUUCGGCAGGGGAGACUGGAAUUCCUGGUGUAGCGGUGGAAUGCGCAGAUAUCAGGAGGAACACCAAUAGCGAAGGCAGCUCGCUGGGACGUUACUGACACUGAGGCGCGAAAGCGUGGGGAGCGAACAGG
rnacentral:rRNA from 1 species